ensembl:snoRNA
CUCCAAGGUGAUUCCCUCUCCAAGGGGCCAACUAGUGCCCCUUUCAGGAAAGUAGCAACUUGGAAGAGAAUAUGGCAUGCCUAAGGUCUCUGGGAGACAGGGGAUUCUUGUUUCCUUUACCUUCCUUUGGAUGCCUACAGGU